AUGAACGCUGGCGGCGUGCCUUAAGCAUGCAAGUCGAACGGGAUUUUGGAGUCGCAAGAUUUUAAUUUUCAGUGGCGGACGGGUGAGUAUAAGUAAGGAACGUACCCUAAACUAUCGCAUAGCUCGUCGAAAGACGGGGUAAUUCGAUAUGUGAUCGCAAGAUCAAAGAGCGUAACAACUCGGUUUUGGAGCGGCCUUAUGUCUAUCAGCUAGUUGGUGGGGUAAAAGCCUACCAAGGCGACGACGGAUAGGGGGUGUGAGAGCACGACCCCCCACAAUGGCACUGAGACACGGGCCAUACAGCUACGGAUGGCAGCAACUGGGAAUAUUAGUAAUGGGCGAAAGCCUGACCGAGCGACACCGCGUGAGGGAUGAAGUAUUUCGGUAUGUAAACCUCUUUUAUAUAGUCGUCGAGGCUAUAAGAAUAAGCACCUACAAACUACGU
rnacentral:rRNA from 1 species